UACAGAGGGUGCAAGCGUUAAUCGGAAUUACUGGGCGUAAAGCGUGCGUAGUCGGUUAUUUAAGUCGGGCGUGAAAGCCCCGGGCUCAACCUGGGAAUUGCGUUCGAUACUGGAUAGCUAGAGUUCGGCAGAGGGAAGCGGAAUUUCGGGUGUAGCGGUGAAAUGCGUAGAUAUCUGGAGGAACACCGGUGGCGAAGGCGGCAUCCUGGACCAACACUGACGCUGAGGAGCGAAAGCCAGGGGAGCAAACGGG
rnacentral:rRNA from 1 species